AGCAUGCAGCAGCCGCUGAUAGGAACCACCUUCUCCUGCUUGAUUAGAGACUCAGAACUCAAGUCACAACAUUUGGUGGCUCCUAUUGUUUAAAAACCCAACCCAACCCAAACCAAAACAAAAAGCAGAAAACAUUUAUAACUGAACUCAUCUGAACUCAUCUUUAUGCUCCAGGGUUGGAAAAUAAUCCAGGAUGGUUGGAAUGUGAAGUUUGUUUUCAGAUAUGCUAUUCCCCAGUUUAGGCAAAAAUGGGGUGUGUUGAAAAAGGCCUUCUCAGAAGUCUAUAUGGACUUCAAGAAUGAGAGUGCAAAUGUUCUGGACCAUGUCCCCUGAAACAGAUUUUUCACUUUUCAGCUCUUUCUGAUCAGAAACUCUUCCUCAAAGGGUGUGAAUUAUGGCUGCUGGUUUGAUGACCUUUAAGCACUGGUACCAGAUCAUUCGAGAGACUCUCUAGACAUUACCCAGACAUUUUGCCUCAGUUUCCCUCUUUUGUAUUCUUUUAAACCUGUACUGAUUUUCAGCUACCAGAAAGCUAUCCUCUUAAUGGCCCCAUCCCAUGUCUCCAAUGAGUGUAUGCUCACUCUGGUCACCAUCUUGGCACAUCUCAGCAUCCAGCUCCAUCGCCCCAUCCUGCAUUGAGCUCCAAAGGCUCUUCCCAAUUUCCUGAAGGCUGUGGUGCUGGCACAGUGCAAUCCUGUGCUUCAGUACUCAUCUUGUUUUCUCAUCUGGUACCCCUUCUGUGUCCUUGACUUUGCAAGUGCACAGCAGGAACUUUGCAGGAGCUACCUAAGAGAGCCCCUGGGAACCCAUCACCUCCUUGCAUCUUGCUUGAUGUCGGCACAAGAAGGAGCUCAGUGGAUGCCUGACAUUAGAUAGAAGGGCUAAGAGCCACAGGUCUGCAUUUGCAACCAGGUGAUUUGGCAUUUCUGGGCUUCGGUGCUUCAUGGUAAUGAUCUGCCAUGAGCAGACCAGCUGAGAGGAGGGUUUCUGAAGGAAAGGCAGUGGAACAUGUGCUUCUGGGCAGCAUGCUCCAGUGCCUGCUCU